rnacentral:rRNA from 1 species
UAGGGAAUCUUGCGCAAUGGGCGAAAGCCUGACGCAGCCAUGCCGCGUGAAUGAUGAAGGUCUUAGGAUUGUAAAAUUCUUUCACCGGGGAAGAUAAUGACGGUACCCGGAGAAGAAGCCCCGGCUAACUUCGUGCCAGCAGCCGCGGUAAUACGAAGGGGGCUAGCGUUGCUCGGAAUUACUGGGCGUAAAGGGCGCGUAGGCGGAUGUUUAAGUCGGGGGUGAAAGCCCGGGGCUCAACCUCGGAAUUGCCUUCGAUACUGGACAUCUUGAGUACGGGAGAGGUGAGUGGAACUCCGAGUGUAGAGGUGAAAUUCGUAGAUAUUCGGAAGAACACCAGUGGUGAAGGCGACUCACUGGCCCGUUACUGACGCUGAGGCGCGAAAGCGUGGGGAGCAAACAGGAUUAGAUACCCUGGUAGUCCACGCCGUAAACGAUGAGUGCUAGUUGUCGGCAUGCAUGCAUGUCGGUGACGCAGCUAACGCAUUAAGCACUCCGCCUGGGGAGUAC